rnacentral:tRNA from 1 species
GGGGAGAUUCCAGAGCGGCCAAAUGGGGCAGACUGUAAAUCUGUUGUCUUUCGACUUCGAAGGUUCGAAUCCUUCUCUCCCCA